GCGCAACGACUUGGGCGCUGUCUCGACCAUGGACCCGGUGAAAUUGCACUGGUCGUGAAGAUGCGACUUACCCGCGGAAGGACGGAAAGACCCCGUGAACCUUCACUGCAGCUUGGCAUUGGCCGCUGGUCCCGCGUGUAGAGGAUAGGCAGGAGGCUAAGAUCCGGAGGCGCCAGCCCCCGGGGAGCCGCCCUUGGAAUACUGCCCUCGCGCGACCGGCGUCCUAACCCGAGGCCGUCAACCGGCUCGGGGACCGUGCCAGGCGGGCAGUUUGACUGGGGCGGUCGCCUCCUAAAGGGUAACGGAGGCGCGCGAAGGUCCGCUCGGGACGGUCGGCAACCGUCCUUUUGAAUGCAAGAGUACAAGCGGGCUUGACUGCGAGGCCCACAAGCCGAGCAGGUGCGAAAGCAGGCUCUAGUGAUCCGGCGGCCCCGAGUGGGUGGGCCGUCGCUCAACGGAUAAAAGGUACUCCGGGGAUAACAGGCUGAUCUUGCCCAAGAGUCCACAUCGACGGCAAGGUUUGGCACCUCGAUGUCGGCUCAUCGCAUCCUGGGGCUGGAGCAGGUCCCAAGGGUACGGCUGUUCGCCGUUUAAAGCGGUACGCGAGCUGGGUUCAGAACGUCGUGAGACAGUUCGGUCCCUAUCCUCCGUGGGCGCAGGAGAAUCGAUGGAGGCUGCCCCCAGUACGAGAGGACCGGGGUGGACGCACCUCCGGUGAACCGGUUGUCGACCAACGGCACGGCCGGGUAGCCGCGUGCGGCGCGGAUAACCGCUGAAGGCAUCUAAGCGGGAAGCCGUUCCAGGGAUUAGUUCUCCUUCCGGUAAGGGCCCAGGUAGACUACCUGGUCGAUAGACGGCAGGUGCAAGGGCGGCGACGUCCUCAGCCGAGCCGCACUAAUCGCCCGAGCUCUUCCGGAA
rnacentral:rRNA from 1 species